rnacentral:lncRNA from 1 species
AGUAGGACGCUAUAAAUGGUUUUCUAUAAUGUUUUCUCUUGUUCAAAUCUGUUACUUAUAUUGUUUUAUGAGAAUUCAUUUUAAACUUGUUUAUAAAGGAUUUCCAAAGGUUUUCCAACUUAUUUUACAAAAGAAUACCCUGUCGGGAUUUCUCAAGUAUAAAAGUUCUCUUUCAUGUUGUAUACUUUUACUUGUUAGUUACCGCUGCUUCGCUUUCACUUAGUUUAAACUCCUACUUGAUAACGCUUUCACUUCGUGAUGCGUUUAUACCUGUUAUUGCCUCUAUUUCGCUUACACUUGUAGUCGCUUAUACCUGUUAGACGCUCUUACUUCACCAGUUGUCGUUUCCACUUCGUGGUACACUUAUAUUUGGUACACUUAUACUUCACGAUUCGGUUAUUCCACACGAUUCGGUUAAUCCACACGAUACGUUUCCACUUGUUACACACUCAGUCGUAGUUAGAUGUAUGUCUGUGCUUGUAUAGGUACAUAUAAAUAAUGAUUGAAGGACUUAGGAAGGCUCGUCCGCCCUAUUUCCUUUUCUUCGUUGAGAUGUGGUCUGGUGGGAUCGGAUGGCCGUCCGAAGGUCGUUUGGUUCAUUAGUUAUAUAUUAUGUAUGCGAGCAUAGACAUAUAGGUUUACUCUAGUCAUUUCAGUUAUGAGUCUCUACCUCUAGUUCAACACUUAUAUUGGAAACCCACUACCGACUAGAAACCUACUACCCACUAUUUGGAAGUCACUACCCACUAUUUGGGAUGCAUCUUCGGGACACGGCCUUCUCCGUCGUCUAGUUGGUAACCAAAGUCUCCUGUAGGGAGAGUGGACAUUGUGUGUAUAGAUCUAUACGGGAUUGACACCCCCGCACCCAGACUACUAGCUACAGUCCCGGCCUACCAAGCCAACAGGUGACAAAUGUCAUAUUUUAUAGACGCUUGUAGGGCGUCUGGUACUCUAGUCAGUAUGGUUAUGAGUAUCCCGGGUUACCUUAUAAUUCAUGGCUUUAAGGUAACGGUAUUUUACCAGCAAUUUACACUGUGUGCUGGAAACCCUCUUUCAGAGUCACACUGUUUGUAGACCUCGUUAGCUUUAUCUUUCAUUUGAUACUGUCUGGGGUUUGUACCCUCUGCUUUUAGACCUUGCUAGCCGUACCUCUCAUUUGGUACCGCCUGAGGUCUGUGUCUCCUUUUGUUAUACUGAGCCAGGCGUGUCGUUCAUUCGAUAUUUUCCUGGAGUCUAUGAUUCCUCUUGCCUUAGUCAGCAGUCUUCACUGCUGAGGCAUAUCUCAUUUCCCUGAUAUCUCCUACUUUCUUUAACAAUCAAAUUCUGUAUUUUGAUAAUGAUAACGUCUAAGGGAAAACUACUUUUUACCACAAUUACUCCGUCCAGUCUUGAUAGAAGGCUGCUUUUAUUAAGGAAAAUAUAGGAUUUCUGGAAAGAACUCUAAUACACUGUGAAUUCUUAAACUGCUACUUUUUAUAAAGUUAUUUGAAUAAAAUGACACUAAAUACUUAUGAACUCACAAGCAUUUGUAAAAAUAUUGAUACUCGCUUUUCAAAUAACUUGUAUUCUCAGGUCAGCUUUAGACAGGUACAUUCCCGGAGCUGUUGAUGAAGAUAGCUUAGUACCAAGUUGUACUUAUUAUACUUACUUGUAUUACUUUGAUGUAUUGUAAUGUAAACCAUGUAAAACUAUUACUAUUAAUGCAAUGUUUUGUUGUACUUUGAUUACUAUAAUGCAUGUGUUGUGAUACUUGACAUGACGUCAUCCACCCCAGAACGUUUCCGCCGUUCCGGUUUUGGGGUGUGACAGAUUAGUAUUAGAGCAUUGUUUAUAGUGAGCUAAGUAUAUCAAUUCAUAAAAGAUAUACAGCCUAUAAAUACAAAGGGAUAAAACACUCUGACCAUGAAUUAUACUUUAAAAAUAUAACCAUAUUUUACCAAAGUAUAAGAACAUCCAGAAUCUAAACACUCGUACACAAGUAUCACAAGAAGAACAAUAAUAAAAGUCUUCGGAUGUUGGGCAUUACCGUCAAACCUGGGCAGUUAUGUAAUCAAAAGUUGGAAUAAAUGUAACCUGAUCAACUACAUUUAUUCGAGAUGCGAUGAACAUGUGCUUGGGAGUGAUAGUGGUGUGCAACAGGUCUGAAACUUACCAACUAGGAAUGCUAGAGCCAAACAUAAAGUCAUAAUACUAUAGGAGUAUUUUGGAACACUAAAAGACUCCCAUUAAUUCCAGAAUCAUAUUCAGAAGAUAAGAAACAAACAAGAACAUUAAAAUACCAUAGGGGUAUUUUAGGAUCCAUAAACAACCUUGUGUGAAGAACUAAAAAGAUCCUUAUUGAUAUACCUACAAUUACAGAGAGUAUACUCCCAAGGUUAUAUAUGAUAAGGAUCCCAUAGGCUAAGAAUGUGUGGUUUCCCCCUACUUCCUUUUCCUUGUUUGGAUGUGGACUUAGAGUAGUAUCACAUAUUCGAAGGCCUAUCGGAUCUACGUUAUAUAUGACUUGUAUACCCUGUGUAAUCGUAGCAGGACUCGAUAUGGAUCACCUAGUGAAAUGUUAAUAAUCUCUUAGGAUUCUUUAGACAUUUCCAUUCUCGCACGAACCCUAUAGAAAGCCCUAUCCACUUCAGCACUCGGCAGAAGAGUUGAUUCAGACCCAAAGGAAGUUCAUUGAGAAGAUUUCCAGUUCGGAAAUAAAUGAACUGGGACGAGACUAUUGAAAUCACCAAGUGACUAUAUCUUUUUAGGGACAUCGGUGAGGAGUUUGCCUAAACUUCCGAGAUUCCCAGUCACCCAUUAUGAGGUGAUGACACCCAUAGUCGGAAUCCGGAAGCAAGGCGGAGUAGAGAUUCAAUAUGUCCAUACGAGGAGAGAACCCUAGGUAACUACUCGAAGGAAACCAACGCCGAUACCAGUCAAAGAUACGAGGCAGACAGAGGGAGCCAGUACAUGGAACCCGAGAAUUGUCUUUUCCUCGUAUUCGUCAUGCUAAUACACCCAUAAAAUAAUACAAUUUAGUGAGUUAGUGGUUACACUACUCACGCUAUGUGUUAGGUAAAUCGCCAUUUCCCGUUGCCAGUAACAUGAUUAGAGCAUAUCCCCGCACCUCUAUUGAGGGUAUUUAGCCAUAAGCCUUCAUGAGCCUUUCUUACCACAGUCUUCGUUCCGAACUGUUCUCAAAUCUCUCCAGGUCGGAGAGUGAAACCUUUCCCAGUAUAAAGGUAACGUAGUAGGAACGAUUCCCAUCUUAUGGCCUUUUUCCGAUACUCAUACUCCUACCAUGAUUACCAGGACUACAUCAUAGGGAUGUAGGUCGACACUCAGACAACCAGUACCCGAGGCACGGGAAAAAUCUAUGGCUAAAACAGUCAGGACAGAAAUGUCCAGGGUUAGCCAUCGUCUCUCAUUACCUUGUAUUCCUUUCCGUGUAGGAAAACCAUGCCUCCAAAAAAGUGUAACCAAUCCGCAAGCAAGAAACCUUCUCUCUUGUUCGAUGAGGCUACGUUCCAAGCUGCAGUCUCGGCAGUCGUAGCAGUUGUCAUGGCUCACCUGAAUGCUAACAACGCUAAUGUUAGCAAGGGCCCUAUUGGGGAUUCCAUUCCUAACAAUGGACAACAACAAUCAACUCCCGUAUACCCAGCCACCCAAGAACCUCAACCGAACCCACUAAAGAGAAAACUCAAGAUCGAGGAGGGAGGUACCUCGGCUCAAGGACCUUCCGAAGGGCAACAAGCUGAGGCAACCCCUGUCAAUCCUUCCCUCCCGACUUCAAGAAGACCGUACCUAGGAGACCUUCCCCACUGCAGCAAGUGUAGUUACCAUCAUCAUGGUGUCUGUCGGGAACUCUUAUGUGCUAGGUGCAACAUGAAGGGGCAUACUGCCCGUGUAUGCAGAACUUCGGUGGAGCGUAUUGCAUCAAUCACCAAGGUGACGGCCAAUCCAGUUUGCCGACUAUGUGGUGAGAUUGGACACUUCAAAAGGGACUGCCCAACCGAAGGAAACGACAAAGACACAGGAGGAGUCUGAAUCUACUGCUUAGGGAAAAGCAUCAAGUAACCCGGUAGAUUUUUGGUACGCCCUUCAAUCUCAGAUAACUAACUAAAAACAUUAAAAGACUAAUUCAAAUGUAAAAUUUUUCCUAGUAAGGCGAAAGUCACAGCACUGUUAUAAAAUUUAAAAUCCAUCAGGUAAAACUAUAAUGGCUAAACAUAUGUGUUACGGCCAUGUAUAGUUAAGAUGGAUAGACCUAGAGUGAGUGAAUGCCGCCUCAUUUCCUGUUCCUCGUUUGGUUGUGGAUUAAGGGCGGAGUCGCUCAGUCGACAGUCCUCCCCACCUUAAUUAUACAUGACUAGUAUAUGUUAAGUGAUUAUAGAAAUGCCUCGUGAAAAUCCAUUCAUGAAAAGGUACUCUACUCAGAAACACUUAGGACUACCUAUAGUUCCGCGUCGACUCUAUCGGUCCCAGUAUCCGUGACAGUGAUACAUAGGACGAAACCUUAGACGCCUAGAACUUGUGUGCCUGUUCGGCACAUGACUCUAUCGAUCUCCAUUUUAUAUCAUGUCGAAGCGUGCCAACUUCGACGACUCUAUCGAUCAUGGUUCGACUUCAUGCAACCAUGUGUAAACCGCUAGUGCUGUGUAAAAAGAACUUUCUCCGUAGCCAUUCUAGCAAAUAAAGGCUCUUUCGAACCUAAACAUAAAACAAAUAAUCAAACUUAAUACGAUCCGCCAGUCGUCCCUCUUAUCUCAAACCUUCUGAAGUACCCAAGAGAAGGGUACCAAGUGCUGUUAACCGACCCCUCUUAGUCAUAUGGAAAUCCGAAGCGAAAGACACUGCAGAUACUCCAGAAGACAAUGGCCACCCGAAGCACACACCAUAGAUCCCCCAGAAAGGCCCUUCGCACCUCGCACAUUAGGUUCGUGAACCCAGAGGAUAGAACUCAUGGGACUGACCACUAUAACCAAGUAUAUGCAUAAAGGUGGUAUAUAAUUGAGAUUAAAAAGAUUUAAGGUGUGUGUUUCCUCCCUACUCCCUGUUCCUCGUUGGGUUGUGGGUUUGGGGUGGAGUCGUACAGCUGAACAUCCUGCCGACCUCAAUUAUAUAUGGCUUGCAUACACCAAGUAUUAGUGGUUAAGCCAAGUAUGAGCUCUACCACGAACCUCAUAGUAAAACCCUUCAUUCUAGUCCGCAGAAUAGGAGCCAGAGACAAGAAAACCACAGUGGGUUGAGCUACUAUGAUGACCACAAAUCCAAAAUAUGUUGACAUCCCAGUUUAGCCAGCUUAGUAGCUAGCACCCGCAAUGGGUAAAGGCACCCGAGUCGUAAGAGUCAAGGACAUUAACUACGACCAUCCAUUCACGCUUAAUCCCCCGAAUUAAGCAUCGCAGCGGAUAUCCCAGAAAUCCGAAAGCGGCGAUAAUGUUAAACACUCAGAAGAAUGGAUGAAGAGAUUAACGUUCCAAAUAAUGGAACCCAAUACUCACUAGAUUUGACCUAGACAGAGGAAACUCAGAACCUUCAGAAGAGUAGUUGCAGCAGAUGCUCGCACUACUUAGGCACUUCAUCCACCCGUUACUGACGAGUAGUGCCUAGGAUCCUCCACCCUCUCGCAUGGAGGAAAUCGUCGUUGCCCUAUAGACGAUCGACUUCAUUCUCCGAAGUAAACACUAGGAUACCGAGAACCAUAGGAUAACCUCCGUAGCCAUGAAUGCUUGAUCAAAGUGCGAAAGUAGUUGCGUUAAGCCUCAUGACCCAGGUCCCGAAGAGAUUAUAGACUUGACACCAGCCUUGGUGUUAGUCGAGGGGUUAUGCAGGAGCAUGCGCUUUCCGCACUAGAAUAAACCAAAGUCAUAUGAGAUUCAUCGGACUAUCAGGUGUUCCACGAAUACUAUCUCACGCAGAAAUAGUAGAACCACCUCCCGAGAUAGUCCAACACUCAUCUGGUGAAACCCUAACUCCCUGACCCUGAGGGUUUCCGUUAGAAAUAUCUCAAGCAUCAGAAGUUCAGGUUCAUUAUGUAUGAGCUUGAGAUAGACACCCUACAACAAUCGGAUAACCUUAGUCACACAACCCAUUCGACGAUCUAGAAAGCCUCUAAAGGCCAAUGGACAGGAAACACGAAACCAAAGACAACCCGAGCUUCCUGAGAACCAACCUGAAGGACUACACUUCCAGUAUUAGAGAGAACAUUUAGAACUUCGGAAUGACGAUCACACCAGUGAUGAUCUCGCAUUAGAAGUACACUAUGUUCUAAGUACCAAAAAGUUCUACCCUUCCGAGAGCUUAGAACCAUCCGAGAUCCUCACAGAGAUUUGGUCCAACCCUCGUCAGACCACUACUACCUUCGGAAAAUCCACAAGUUUCACACCCGAUCGAACCACUUCCUAGACUUGAUAAGUGCUUACCCGACAUCACUUUUCGUACCCCACUCAUCUUGAUAGAAAUCAUUGAGAAACCUAACCUCGUAGAUACACUAGUCGGAACCCACUAGCUACACGAGACGGAAAUCCGCAUCCCUUAGGUGAAGGUUUGUUGGAAUGACAAACACAGACCAGAGUUCACCGGGGAAUGCGAGGACAAACCAAAUAGGAAGUACCCUCCUGCCUCUAUCAUCCAUACCUACUUCCUUGCCUAGACCUGAAUUUCGGGACGAAAUUCCCUCUAACGGGGGGAUGAUGUGACAACCCAAGCUUAUUCCGUUACAUUACCCCGUUACCGUUAACAGAAUAUUCCAUUUUAUAAAAGGUCUGUUAGUUAGAGGUCGCCAAAUAAAUAAAUGUUUUUAUUUAUAAUACAUGUCGUUAUAGUCGUAAUAAAGUAAAUAAAAACACUUAAAUUACAUUUCCAUAGUAAUUUAGAAAAAGUUAGUUUUUAUUAUUACGACCACUAAAUCGGGUGCGACCAAAAGCCCCGUUUAACGGCAGUAUUGGGUAGAUUUCCACUGAGCUUCAACUCCAACCCCUAUAUAAGGGGGAGUAAACUCCAUUUCAACCUUUUUUCACCCUCUCUCUCUAUACUCUCUCUCUAGGCUCGUUUUCGACUCAAAUCCGCAACCAAACGCUUCCAAAUUCUAAAUCCACUUACCCUAGCUUGUUCUAAACAUUAUUGGUUGUGUUUGUAACCCGGAAAUCGACCAUUUAAGCUGUGGAAAAGGAGUUUACGGCCUAAGAUCCUCCUUAGGCCGUAAACCCCUUAAAUGAGGCCAAAAUGACCCAAACUUGUCCCAUUGAGCCUAGGAACCAAUUAAGGAAUUUGUCUAGGAGUGUUUAAUCAUCAAAACAUAAGAUUUUAGGGCAUAAAAGAGAGUUUACGGCCCAAGCACAUGCUUAGGCCGUAAACACCACUUAACCUUGCAAAAAUGCCCCAAACACACUCCCAAACCACCCUUAGGCUUAAUACAUAAAUUAGGGACAUGCUAUUUCGGGUUUAGAACAUUUAAGCACAUAGAAUUGAGGGGCAAAAAGGAUUUUACGACCCAAGCACAUGCUUAGGCCGUAAACACCCCCAAACCAUGCCAAAUGUUAGUUUUAAUUCCCCCAAAUGGCCUCAUCCAUCAUUAUAAAAUGCUAGAAGUGAAAUAGGGACUUUAAACUGCAAUAAAACUAAGGGUAUAGGAGUUCACGGCCGUGAACUCCCAUAGGGGUGGUUCAUGGGCCGUAAACUCCCAUAUGGUCCCUUUAAACCCCUCCAAUCCACUCAUACAACUUAGAUUUGGACCUAGUAUAAUUCCACGAUCAAGAUAAAGCCUUUAAACACCCUAGAAACCCCUCACCAUGAGUUUACGGUCGUAAACUCAUGGGGAGUUGUCCCAGGGCCGUAAACAGCAUAUGGAGAGUUUACUCUAGGAGUGUAAACUCCAUUCCUAAGCCAUACACACCCUUAGAUGUUACCCGGGACACCCCAAACACUUAACCAAAGUGUUUUCCGCUACUUAGGGUGCGUAUACUUGUUUAAUUAGUAUUAUAUAUACUAAUUGUAUGUGAACAUAUGUUAUCAUAUGUUAAAUAGGUCAUUGAGUGUGUUCGAGUCUUUACUUGACACCAAGCACCCAACCGGCACCUUUGUCGGAUCCACUUACACAAGGUGAGUUCAUACCCCUGAUUGAACCUUUCAAAUGCUUUUACAUGUUUUAUAGGGGGAAUACAAGUUAAACAUGCCAGUCAUCAUAGCAAUCACAUGUGAUUGAUAACCCGCAUGCAUAAAGAUUUACCACACUGUAAACUGUUUUACCGAGUAGGACGCUAUAAAUGGUUUUCUAAAAUGUUUUCUCUUGUUCAAAUCUUUUACUUAUAUUGUUUUAUCAGAAUUCAUUUUAAACUUGUUUAUAAAGGUUUUCCAAAGGAUUUCCAAAGGUUUUCCAACUUAUUUUACAAAAGAAUACCCUGUCGGGAUUUCUCAAGUAUAAAAGUUCUCUUUCAUGUUGUAUACUUUUACUUGUUAGUUACCGCUGCUUCGCUUUCACUUAGUUUAAACUCCUACUUGAUAACGCUUUCACUUCGUGAUGCGUUUAUACCUGUUAUUGCCUCUAUUUCGCUUACACUUGUAGUCGCUUAUACCUGUUAGACGCUCUUACUUCACCAGUUGUCGUUUCCACUUCGUGGUACACUUAUAUUUGGUACACUUAUACUUCACGAUUCGGUUAUUCCACACGAUUCAGUUAAUCCAUACGAUAUGUUUCCACUUGUUACACACUCCGUCGUAGUUAGAUGUAUGUCUAUGCUUGUAUAGGUACAUAUAAAUAAUGAUUGAAGGACUUAGGAAGGCUCGUCCGCCCUAUUUCCUUUUCUUCGUUGAGAUGUGGUCUGGUGGGAUCGGAUGGCCUUCCGAAGGUCGUUUGGUUCGUUAGUUAUAUAUUAUGUAUGCGAGCAUAGACAUAUAGGUUUACUCUAGUCAUUUCAGUUAUGAGUCCCUACCUCUAGUUCAACACUUAUAUUGGAAACCCACUACCGACUAGAAACCUACUACCCACUAUUUGGAAGUCACUACCCACUAUUUGGGAUGCAUCUUCGGGACACGGCCUUCUCCGUCGUCUAGUUGGUAACCAAAGUCUCCUGUAGGGAGAGUGGACAUUGUGUGUAUAGAUCUAUACGGGAUUGACACCCCCGCACCCAGACUACUAGCUACAGUCCCGGCCUACCAAGCCAACAGGUGACAAAUGUCAUAUUUUAUAGACGCUUGUAGGGCGUCUGGUACUCUAGUCAGUAUGGUUACGAGUAUCCCGGGUUACCUUAUAAUUCAUGGCUUUAAGGUAACGGUAUUUUACCAGCAAUUUACACUGUAUGUUGGAAACCCUCUUUCAGAGUCACACUGUUUGUAGACGUCGUUAGCUGUAUCUUUCAUUUGAUA